rnacentral:rRNA from 1 species
ACGGGAGGCAGCAGUGGGGAAUUUUGGGCAAUGGGCGAAAGGGCUGACCCAGCAACGCCGCGUGAGUGAAGAAGGCUUUCGGGUGUUAAAGCUCUGUAGCCCGUGAAGAACGGUACUGUGUGAAAAUGUGCAGAACUUGACGGUACCGGGUGAGGAAGCCCCGGCUAACUACGUGCCAGCAGCCGCGGUAAUACGGAGGGGGCAAGCGUUGUUCGGAUUUAUUGGGCGUAAAGGGCGUGUAGGCGGCUGGUCAAGUCGGGAGUGAAAUCCCGGGGCUCAACCGGGGACCUGCGUUGGAAACGGGCGGACUUGAGUCCGGGAGAGGGCAGUGGAAUUCCCGGUGUAGCGGUGAAAUGCGUAGAGAUCGGGAGGAACACCGGUGGCGAAGGCGGCUUCCUGGGCCGAAACUGACGCUGAGGCGCGAAAGCGUGGGGAGCAAACGGGAUUAGAUACCCCGGUAGUCCAAGCCGUAAACGAUGAGUGCUAGGUGUGGGGGGUAUCGA